ensembl:lncRNA
CCCUUUGAGCUGCGUGCUACAGCGAGGCUAAGCUAGUGGGGGCAAAGUUUCAGUGCAUUCCGUUGAUGUAGACGGCGUGAAAACGGAAACAAGAAGUAUGCCGUCUCACUGUGCUGCAUACAAUUACACACUACGUCGUACGAUUGAGACAAGGAAACUUGGAAUGACUUUUCAUAGGUUUCCCAGAGACUAUGGGUUGAGGAGGAAUUGGAAGUUUGUCGGCUUAGACCUGGUGUCAUUCCAUCAGUGUUAAACUUCCCGGCUUAUCUUGGAAGAGUACGUGCCAGAAAGACCACGACCAAGCAGCCUUGAGAUCUUAGGCAGCGUCUCCCUGAGGUCCCUCUCUAUCUCCCCACACAUCCACCAACCACUGGAACACAUCUCCAAAGUUCUGCCGGGCCAGCUCAGCUUCCCCUCAGAAGAAGUUCCACCAGAUGAAGGAGCCUUUUGAGAGGCAGCUGGCAUCGUGAUUGGACUGUACUUUGGUCUGUUCUAAUCCAGCUUCAGCUCCAGAGACGGCAGGUGGGACGAGUCAACGGAGGCCGGGUGGACGAAGGCAUGCAGCUGAGUACAAUCCAGAAAACAACAGAGGAGGAGUGCAGUGACCCAGAGCCAGAACAAACAGAGUAGCAUCGUAUGUCUCUCAGAAAACAUCAUAGUAUAGCCUUUGGUAUGAAAAAACGCC